UCGAGAAUUUUUCUCAAUGGGGGAAACCCUGAAGGAGCGACGCCGCGUGGGGGAUGAAGGGCUUCGGCCCGUAAACCCCUGUCAUUUGCGAACAAGUGUUGCGGUUGAACAUUCCGUAAUUUGAUUGUAGCGAAAGAGGAAGGGACGGCUAACUCUGUGCCAGCAGCCGCGGUAAUACAGAGGUCCCAAGCGUUGUUCGGAUUCACUGGGCGUAAAGGGUGCGCAGGUGGGUUUGCAAGUUCGAUGUGAAAGCCCCGGGCUUAACCCGGGAAUGGCAUUGGAUACUGCAGAUCUGGAGGAUUGGAGGGGGGACUGGAAUUCUUGGUGUAGCAGUGAAAUGCGUAGAUAUCAAGAGGAACACCAGUGGCGAAGGCGAGUCCCUGGACAAUACCUGACACUGAGGCACGAAAGCCGGGGGAGCAAACAG
rnacentral:rRNA from 1 species